rnacentral:rRNA from 1 species
UACGGGGGGAGCAAGCGUUGUUCGGAUUUACUGGGCGUAAAGGGCGCGUAGGCGGCCACCGCAAGUCAGUUGUGAAAGCUCUGGGCUUAACCCAGAAAGGUCAGCUGAUACUGCGGGGCUAGAGUGCAGAAGGGGCAACUGGAAUUCUCGGUGUAGCGGUGAAAUGCGUAGAUAUCGAGAGGAACACCUGCGGCGAAGGCGGGUGCUGGGCUGACACUGACGCUGACAGCGCGAAAGCUAGGGGAGCGAACGGG